rnacentral:tRNA from 2 species
GGGGUCGUAGCUCAGUUGGUUAGAGCGCCGGCCUGUCACGCCGGAGGCCGCGGGUUCGAGCCCCGUCGACCCCGCCA